CCUACGGGCGGCAGCAGUAGGGAAUAUUGCUCAAUGGGGGAAACCCUGAAGCAGCAACGCCGCGUGGAGGAUGAAGGUUUUCGGAUUGUAAACUCCUUUUGUUAGAGAAGAUAAUGACGGUAUCUAACGAAUAAGCACCGGCUAACUCCGUGCCAGCAGCCGCGGUAAUACGGAGGGUGCAAGCGUUACUCGGAUUCACUGGGCGUAAAGAGCGCGUAGGCGGGGUAGCAAGUCAGAUGUGAAAUCCUGUGGCUUAACCAUAGAACUGCAUUUGAAACUGGUAUUCUAGAGUAUGGGAGGGGUAGGUGGAAUUCUUGGUGUAGGGGUAAAAUGCGUAGAGAUCAAGAGGAAUACUCAUUGCGAAGGCGACCUGCUAGAACAUAACUGACGCUGAGGCGCGAAAGCGUGGGGAGCAAACAGGAUUAGAUACCCGUGUAGUC
rnacentral:rRNA from 1 species